UACAGAGGGGCAAGCGUUGUUCGGAAUACUGGGCGUAAAGGGCGCGUAGGCGGCCUUCUAAGUCGAACGUGAAAUCCCUGGGCUCAACCCAGGAACUGCGUCCGAUACUGGAAGGCUUGAAUCCGGGAGAGGGAUGCGGAAUUCCAGGUGUAGCGGUGAAAUGCGUAGAUAUCUGGAGGAACACCGGUGGCGAAGGCGGCAUCCUGGACCAACACUGACACUGAGGAGCGAAAGCCAGGGGAGCGAAACGGG
rnacentral:rRNA from 1 species